UAACAGAAUUCCGGUGAGUAGCGUAUCCCUACGGAUGACAUUUUGGACACGCCAUUAACGUGUUAAAACAUUUGUUGUUGUUUUCUUGACGACAUUUUCUUUCUUGUUCAUAGAAGACAUAAGUCAAUUUUGUUCAGUAUGGGUUGGAUCAGAAACAGGGCUUGAAAGGUGUGAGCCUAUAAAAACCAGGCAUUCAACUUCUGUCAGAUGAACUACCUCAGUCGGGACCAGGAAGUGUGUGUCCUGGGCUGGGGAGAUCCACAGGAGAGUAAUGGAGCCCUUGAUGAUGUCUGAUCUGUUGGUCAUUGAUGUGUUUAGAGUGCACAUAGGUCUGAAUGUUUGCAUUGUGGUUGUAGGGUUAUUGUGUUACUUACCUGUCUUGUCAGUUCUAGGUGGGGUCUGUGAAUGGCACAGUGAAGAGGUUCAGCACAGAGAAGGGCAUCAUUACUGAGACCAGACAGUGUGAGGAGAGCAACCAGGGCAGGUUCACAGGACUCGCCGCCACAGACCGGUUGGAAUAAAUAUUGGGAAGAAUGUUUUUUGGAUGCGACAGAAUCCCUAGCAGCGCAACCAAGUGGCUACAGGAGGGAAAGGGAAUGGCCUGAAGGCCUGGGAUCCGGAGAGACCUGAAACACCGGUCUUUGCCUCCAAGAAUGUGCGUAAUGACUGGCUGGACCUGCGGGUGCCAGAGUGGGUUAGAGACAUGGCCUUCAUCGCAGACUCAGACAAGAUAGACACCUGCAUAGGUCAACACCAGGUCUGUCUGUCUUUCCCUGUACAAGCCCUGUUCUUAGACUGGGUCUGCUGGUCUUCUCAGCCAGCCUUGGAGUCUUUUCCUGUACUCAAAUGAUACAUUCAUCAGGAAUUUGGCACAUUUUUUGUUAGAUACGCAACCAGGCCAGCGCAGUACAUUUUGGCACACUGGGUUUGGCUCAGCUCAGUACAUUUUGGGGGGGAUGAAACUGUCCUGUAAAAGGUUCAUUCAUAUUAUACAACGGGUGGUUCUAAUCCUGAAUGUUGAUUGGUUAAAACCGCAUUCCAGCAGGUGUCUAUUCCACAAGUUACCACCGGCUAAAUCUAUGAAGUCUAUUUACUCUGUUCCAUCUGACUUCGCAAUCCACUGUCACAUCAGCCAAACCAAGCAACUUAUAAACUUGAUCUCCACUAUAAAAAGCAUCUCCUUUUGAAGUGAUUGUGUUAGCUGUGUUGUUGACUAGCUCCUCUGAACAACAGUGUCCUGAGGAGAAAGCACAUGUUCUAUGCCUCAUUAGCUCAUUGUUAUGGAUGUAUCCAAAUAAAUGUUACUAGAAAACAGCUUAUGCAAAUGCAGCUACUGUUAUUAUUUUGUCUGCAAUGUUUGAUGUGACUGUAAGUUAGCAGUAGUUGGCUAGCUAGCAAGCAAGGGAUAGGAACAUUGCCAGCCAGUAUGGAAAUGGAACAUUUAGAAUGAACGACAGGGUCACAUCCAUAGAUACAGAACAAAAAGACUGAACGACUGGUUCGAGUCUCUAGCAACCGACAGAACGAACCACCAGCCGGCUUGGGUAGCAACCCGGGACUCUGUCUUGUGGAAGGAUGAAAUAGUAUGAAUAAAUUCAUCAAAAUAAUGUUUUUAAUGAAAAUAUGUCAGUCAUAAUUUGAGUAUGUUGGUAAACCAUUGUAUAAAAGUGAUAAUGCCUUGGACUUUGUCUUGAGCUUAACAAUACCCGUGCCAAUAUAUCCUCCAAACACCGGUUCCUCGGGCAUUAUCACUUAAUUGGUCAAGUUCAAGUACCCUGAUAUAUGGUUUGUACCAUUGCUACAUAAGCAAACCAUUAAACUUCUUAACUUGACUUCAUCUAUCUAACAACGUAACAAAAGCAACCUAUUUUUUUACUGAUUUAAUAGUUAGGUGUGAGUGUAUGAUCCAGGGAGAGGCAGUCUCAACUCGCCAUCUUAGGUCUGCGGAAAGGGGAAUGUGGGAGUCUGUCUCUUUCCGCUUGUUGUAAUGAUUGUGCAGUUGCUUAGUGAUCUGCUUCAGUACUUUUCCAUGUCAGCUUCUACCGUUGAAGUUGGAAGUUUACAUACACCUUAGCCAAAUAGAUUUAAACUCAGUUUUUCACAAUUCCUGACAUUUAAUCCUAGUAAAAACGUCCUGUCUCAGGUCAGUUAGGAUCACCACUUUAUUUUAAGAAUGUGAAAUGUCAGAAUAAUAGUAGAGUGAAUUAUUUAUUUCAACCUUUAUUGCUUUCAUCACAUUCCCAGUGGGUCAAGUUUACAUACACUCAAUUAGUAUUUGGUAGCAUUGCCUUUAAAUUGUUUAACUUGGGUCAAAUGUUUCAGGUAGCCUUCCACAAGCUUCUCACUAUAAGUUGGGUGAAUUUUGGCCCAUUCCUCCUGACAGAGCUGGUGUAACUGAGUCAGGUUUGUAGGCCUCCUUGCUCGCACACGCUUUUUCAGUUCUGCCCACAGAUUUUCUAUAGGAUUGACGUCAGGUCUUUGUGAUGACCACUCCAAUACCUAGACUUUGUUGGGGUGUGGGGGCUUCAGUCCCACCCUUCUCUCUGGUGGCUUCUUGUGGUUUGGACCACUUUCUGAGGGUACACAGCCUGGAGGACCGCUCUCUACGGAACAAGGUGUAUCUGAAGUCACGACUCAACUGUGGGCUUCUGUCCAGCAGAGAUCUCGAGCUGGGCAGUACAGGAGUGAAUGGAGAUGUGGAGGAAGUAAAAGAAGAGCGAGGAGAACUGGAUGACGUGUGGAACACUAUGGGGAUGAUAAAAGAGAAGGUGAAGAAAAGAGAAACAGAAGAUGAAGAUGUUGUUGAAGAAGCAGACAAGAAGACUAAGAAGAGGCAUCAAAAACUGUAUUUAUUUCUGAAACAUAUUAUACCCUUAUAUUAAACUAAAUAUGGCUGAUACUGCACUAGACAUGACCACAACCACCGAGAUUUCAGAAAAGGAGCUCAAAGAGAAGAAAGGGGAGGUGGAGGAGAAGGAUAAUGGCAGUCGGGUGAAUCAAAGGAAGCUGAAGUGAAGGUAUAAUGUGUGGAGUAUGUACUCCUCCCCAGCGCUGUCUACAUGGUGCGUUCAACUUCACCUUGAAGAGCUUGUGCUUUAUGUAUGCUUUAAAUAAUGGCACCGGGGGUGGCUGCCAUUUUAUGGGCUCCUAACCAACUGUGCUAUUUUGUUGUUUCUAACUUAUUUUGUACAUAAUGUUGCUGCUACUGUCUUUUAUGACUGAAAAGAGCUUCUAGACAUCAGAACAGUGAUUACUCGCCUCGAACUGGAUUCUUUAACGAAUCAGACGCAGAGGAUAUACUGCAUUCUCGAGACCAGGCCCAAACCCCGUCAUUUGUGUGAAGAAAAGACGGAGAUAAAGGGGGUGGAGGUCGGGCUUCCUUCUGGGAAUUCAUAGGCGAGUGAGUAAACUUCCACUACCAUUCGUACUAUUGGCCAUCGUGCAAUCACUGGAAAAUAAAAUGGAUGAUCUACGAUUAAGAAUAUCCUACCAAUGUGACAUUCAAAUGUGACAUUCAAAUCUGUAUGUAUCUUAUGUUUCACCAAGUCGUGGCUGAACGACGACACGGAUACUAUAGAGCUGGCUGGGUAUUCCGGGCAUCGGCAGGACAGAGAAGCUAUGUCUGGUAAGACGAGGGGCGGGGAGGUGUGUCAAUUUGUAAAUAAGAGCUGGUGCACAAUUUCUAAUAUUAAAGAAGUCUCGUACUGCUCGCCUGAGAUAGUGUGGUUUAAAGCUUAUCAUGAGGUAUUCUACCUACCAAGAGUUCUCAUCUAUAUCUAUUUAGCACCCCAAACCGAUGCUGGCACUAAGACCGCACUCAACGAUCUACAUAAGGCCCUAAGUAAAGAAAACAAUGCUCAUCCAGAAGCGGCGCUCCUAGUGGCUGGGGACUUUAAUGCAGGCAAACUUAAAUCCGUUUGACCAAAUUUUGACCAGCAUGUCACAUGUGCAACCAGAGGGAUACAUACAAUACAUACUCUCCCUCACUGUCCAUUUAUCAAAUCUGACCAUAAUUCUAUCCUCCUGAUUCCUGCUUACAAGCAAAAACUAAAGCAGGAAGUACCAGUGACUUGUUCAAUAUGGAAGUGGUCAGAUGACACGGAUGCUACAGGACUGUUGGGCUAGCACAGACUGGAACAUGUUCUGGGAUUCAUCCAAUGGCAUUGAGGAGUAUACUGCUUCAUCAAUAAGUGCAUCGACGACAUCGUCCCCACAGUGACCUUACGUACAUACCCCAACCAGAAGCCAUGGAUUACAGGGAACAUCCGCACCGAGCUAAAGGCUAGAGCUGCCGCUUUCAAGGAUCGGGACACUAAUCCGGACGCUUAUAAGAAAUCCCGCUAUCCCCUCAGAAGAACCAUCAAACAGGCAAAGUGUCAAUACAGGACUAAGAUUGAAUCUUACUACACCGGCUCUGACACUCGUCGGAUGUGGUAGGGCUUGAAAACUAUUACAAACUACAAAGGGAAACCCAGCCACGAGCUGCCCAGUGACGCGAGCCUACCAGACGAGCUAAAUGCCUUUUUAAUACUCACUUCGAGGCAAGCAACACUGAAGUAUGCUUUAGAUCGCCAGCCAUUCCGGACGACUGUGUGAUCACACUCUCGGUAGCACAUUAGAGCAAGACUGCUGAUCCUCAACACUGGCGCCUUUCAGGGGUGCGUGCUUCGUCCCCUCCUGUACUCCCUGUUCACCCACGGCUGCGUGGCCAAACACGACUCCAAGACAACUAGAGAUCGAUGAUGAUUUUUCAACGCCGAUGCCGAUUUAUUGGAGGACCAAAAAAAGCCGAUACCGAUUAGUGGGACGAUUAUUAUUUUAUUUUUUUGAAGAAAAUUUUUUUUUAAAUUUAUUUUACAUUUUUAAAAAUGUAUUUGUUAUGACAAUUACAACAAUACUGAAUAAAAUCAAUUUCGCCUCAAAUAAAUAAUGAAACAUAUUCAAUUUGGUUUAAAUAAUGCAAAAACAAAGUGUUGGAGAAGAAAGUAAAAGUGCAAUAAAUGCCAUGUAAGAAAGCCAACGUUUAAGUUCAUUGCUCAGAACAUGAGAACAUAUGAAAGCUGGUGGUUCCUUUUAACUUGAGUCUUCAAUAUUCCCAGGUAAGUUUUAGGUUGUACUUUAUUAUAGGAAUUAUAGGACUAUUUCCCUCUAUACCAUUUGUAUUUCAUAUACCUUUGACUAUUGGAUGUUCUUAUUGGCACUUUAGUAUUGCCAGUGUAACAGUAUAGCUUCCGUCCCUCUCCUCGCCCCUACCUGGGCUCGAACCAGGAACACAUCGACAACAGCCACCCUCGAAGCAUCGUUACCCAUGCAGAGCAAGGGGAACAACUACUCCAAGUCUCAGAGCGAGUGACGUUUGAAACGCUAUUAGCGCGCACCCCGCUAACUAGCUAGCCUUUUCACAUCGGUUACACCAGCCUAAUCUUGGGAGUUGAUAGGCUUGAAGUCAUAAACAGCUCAAUGUUUGAAGAGCUGCUGGCAAAACGCACGUAAGUGCUGUUUGAAUGAAUGCUUACGAGCCUGCUGGUGCCUACCAUCGCUCAGUCAGACUGCUCUAUCAAAUCAUAGACUUAAAUAUAACAUAACACAGAAAUACGAGCCUUUGGUCAUUAAAAUGGUCGAAUCCGGAAACUAUCAUCUCAAAAACAAAACGACUUCACACAGUUCGCAAUGAGCCAGGCGGCCCAAACUGCUGCAUAUACCCUGACUGCUUGCAAGGAACGCAAGAGAAGUGACACAAUUUCCCUAGUUAAAAGAAAUUCAUGUUAGCAGGCAAUAUUAACUAAAUAUGCAGGUUUAGAAUAUAUAUUUGUGUAUUGAUUUUAAAGAAAGACAUUGAUGUUUAUGGUUAGGUACAUUGGUGUAACGACCAUGCUUUUUUCGCAAAUGUGCUUGAUAAAUCAUCACCCAUUUGUCGAAGUAGGCUGUGAUUCAAUAAGAAAUUAACAGGCACCGCAUCGAUUAUAUGCAACGCAGGAUACGCUAGAUAAUACUAGUGAUUAUGUUAAGAUUGAUUGUUUUUUAUAAGAUAAGUUGCUAGCUAGCAUUAAACUUAUCUUGUCUUCUUGCUGUCCUCGUGUAACAGGUAGUCAGCCUGCCAUGCAGGCUCCUCGUCUAGUGCAAUGUAAGGCAGGUGGUUAGAGCGUUGGACUAUUAACCGGAAGGUUGCAAAAACAAAUCCCCGAGCUGAUGAGGUAAAAACCUGUCGUUCUGCCCCUGAACGAGGCCUAGGAACAGUGGGUUAACUGCCAUCAUUGAAAAUAAGAAUGUGUUCUUUACUGACUUGCCCAGUUAAAUAAAAGUGUAAAAUAAAGAAAUCGGCAAAUCGGUGUCCAAAAAUACAGAUUACCGAUUGAUAUGAAAACUUGAAAUCGGCCCUAAUUAAUCGGCCAUUCCGAUGAAUCAGUCGACCUCUAGACACAGCAAUAGGCCUGAUCACUGACAACAAUGAGAGCCUAUAGGGAGGACAUCAAAGAACAGUCCCCCAUUAACAUCGAUUGGACCCGCUCCGCUACAGCCACGUGUUUCAAGUUCCUUGGUGUCCAUAUCACUAACAAACUACCAUGGUCCAAACACACCAAGACAGUCGUGAAGAGCGCACGACAGCACCUUCUCCCACUCAGGAGACUGAUAAGCGCCAAGUCUAGGACCAAAAUGCUCCUUAACAGCUUCUACCCCCAAGCCAUAAGACUACUGAACAAUUAAUCAAAUGGCCACCUGGACUAUUUACAUUGACU